GGCAUGGUGGCCAAGUGGAAAGGCGUCGGUCUCGAAAACUGAAGAUUAUGGGUUCAAUCCCCGUCCGUGCCU